rnacentral:rRNA from 1 species
UACGUAGGGGGCAAGCGUUGUCCGGAUUUAUUGGGCGUAAAGAGCGUGUAGGCGGCUUUACAGGUCCGUUGUGAAAACUCGAGGCUCAACCUCGAGACGCCGGUGGAAACCGUAAAGCUAGAGUCCGGAAGAGGAGAGUGGAAUUCCUGGUGUAGCGGUGAAAUGCGCAGAUAUCAGGAGGAACACCGGUGGCGAAGGCGGUUCUCUGGGCCUUACCUGACGCUGAGGAGCGAAAGCUAGGGGAGCGAAAGGG